GUCUAUGGCCAUGCCACCCUGAAUAAGCCCAAUGUCUGAUCUAAGAAGCUAAGCAGGGUUGGGCCUGGUUAGUAUUUGGAUGGGAGACCACCUACGAAGACCAGGUGCUAUAGGCA
rfam:Pteropus alecto contig164984, whole genome shotgun sequence.